ACAACUGAGCCACCCAGGUGCCCCUCAUUUACUUCUUAACAACCCUGUGAGGGAGGUAUUACGUCCUCCACUUUAUAAGGGAAGAAACUGAGACUCAGGGAGAAAAUAAGAAGAACUUACAAAUUGCAGAGGUAGGAUGCAGAUUUGGCGCCUACUCAGUGUGGAGCUCCGGAGCCUGUGCUGUUGAACUGUCGUGUUUGUGCUGCUUCAUCAUGCUCUUCAUGUCUGAUCCCCUCAAGGUCCCAGCGAUUCGUAUCUGUUGGAUAUCAGGAAGCGCAGACAGAACUGGUUAAUAAGCCAAAGGUUAAUGGUCAUCCUCCGAGGCAGAGCAUCGGCCGUUAGAUGAUGCAUUUCUCCAUAAUGACGUAUGUGGGGCCAUAUGUGGUAUGCGUACAGUGAUAGUAUUUUUUUAAACUCAGAAUCAGGUCACAUGGGCUGGCUUAGAAUUUUUAGAGAAUUUUUCAUUUUAAAAAUGAAAAUAAUAGACAUAUCUAUUAUGUAUGUGUAUAUGUGUGUAUGUGUGUGUAUACAUACAUUUACACACUCUCAUAAACACACAUAUAUAAAUAAAUAUAUAUCAUGUGUGUGCCAUUGCCAAAUGUCUGGUAGAAGUUGAGAAAAUUUUUGAGGCUGAGUCUAGGUUUAACAAAAAGAACACUGUGAUUAAUAGCAUGGUCUGGCAUAGACCCACAAGGGGAAUUGUCUGUAUAGACCCCAAGUCUCUCACAGUUGCCAUCUUGAGAUAAUGUACUUACAGUUUCAUAAAACUUACCUAUGAAAUUGCAUGAAUCACUUCUACUAAUGCAGGUAUGAUGAGAAGGGAACGGGUGUUCUCAAAAGAUAUUUGUCUCCUAAAACCUUGGGGAUUGAGGAUCACAGCAGAUCGUCAAAAAACACGAAAGUUUCAGCCAUGUCAGAAAAAUGUCAAGAAUAGAGGAAGAACAGACGUCCUUGAUUUAGAGAAGUGGCUGAAAGGGAGACUCGGAUUCCUCAGCUUUGUGGAGCUAUCUAUGCCCCUCCGAGACCUGUGUUAAUGGACGUGGGACAGCCUGAUCCGUGGAUGGUCCCUGAGAACUUGGCCUUGGGGAACAAAAGGGCUACAGCGCCCUAAAUGGGCUCCAGGCGUGACCCCUGCCAUCCAUUCUUUGCACUGAAGCCGGAGAGGUCUUCCGAAAUUCAAAUCUAAUCUUGUCCAUUCUACACUUCACACUCUCCAGUGAGUGGAGCAACAGCCUUUAGAAGAUGUCCGGGCUCACGAACACGGAGUCCAGAGCCCUUUGUCAUCCUGCCCCUGGUGCCCUUGAGCACCUCCUCUCUGGCAGCUCGCUUCUGCCGUCUAAAGCCCUGUUCUUGCCACCGAUGAGACGUUGAUAUCUGUGCCUUCUGACUAGAAUGCUGAUGCCUUCUUUAUGCCUUGGUAUCUUUUCAUCUUUACAUCUCAGCUGGGAAGCUUUUCCCAUCCCUACCCUGGCUUGCUUGUUCCUUCUCUACCCUUCCAUUACUCUUUCUGUGUCUCCUUCUCGUAGAACUUACUUCCAUUUGAUGUAAUUGCUACUCUCCUUACCCGUGAGGGCUGGGUCUACGUCAUGUCCAUUAUUUUGUUCCCAGCAGACAGAACCACAGGGUAAGCACUCAUUACCUGUUGAAAAGUAAGUAGUGAACGUAUCUGUAGACAAGCUGGUUAAUAGAAAUUUCCUCUAAGUCGUUAAAUGUGGGGUGGCUUUAAAUUUCUUCUUUCUUUUCAUACUAAGACAAAAUAAU